rnacentral:rRNA from 1 species
UACGAGGGGGGGCAAGCGUUGUUCGGAAUUAUUGGGCGUAAAGGGUGCGUAGGCGGUUUGAUAAGUCAUCUGUGAAAUCUCUGGGCUCAACCCAGAGUCUGCAGGCGAAACUGUUAGACUUGAGUACGAGAGAGGUGAGUGGAAUUCCCAGUGUAGAGGUGAAAUUCGUAGAUAUUGGGAAGAACACCAGUGGCGAAGGCGGCUCACUGGCUCGUAACUGACGCUCAGGCGCGACAGCGUGGGGAUCAAACAGG